CUACGGGACGCACCAGUGGGGAAUAUUGCACAAUGGAGGAAACUCUGAUGCAGCAACGCCGCGUGGAGGAUGACACUUUUCGGAGCGUAAACUCCUUUUAUAUAGGAAGAAGAUGACGGUACUAUAUGAAUAAGCGCCGGCUAACUCCGUGCCAGCAGCCGCGGUAAUAUGGAGGGCGCAAGCGUUACUCGGAAUCACUGAGCGUAAAGAGCGUGUAGGCGGAUUAAAAAGUCAGAAGUGAAAUCCUAUAGCUUAACUAUAGAACUGCUUCUGAAACUCUUAAUCUAGAAUGUGGGAGAGGUAGAUGGAAUUUCUGGUGUAGGGGUAAAAUCCGUAGAGAUCAGAAGGAAUACCGAUUGCGAAGGCGAUCUACUAGAACAUUAUUGACGCUGAGACGCGAAAGCGUGGGGAGCAAACAGGAUUAGAUACCCCCGUAGUC
rnacentral:rRNA from 1 species